CUCAUCGAGGCUCUGGGUGGGCAGAUCCCUGCCCUGCGGCUGACCGGACCGCACUCCAGCCGUGCACAGCAACAGGAUGAUGCUCCAGGAUGAUACUUCCAGGACUGCCAGCGACAUGGCGUUCGCGGUUUCUCGCAACAUUCAAUUACCUUAAGUAGUCCAGAACCCCGCAUGGGGGGCCACUGAGCUGCAGCGUAUCUUACGGUCGCUGAAGCUGCACCGGAUAGAAUAUUACGGCGGACCCGACAAUCCCCGAGCCGGCAAGAAACCGAAAGUCUCAGCGUGAAGCAAUUAUCCAUGUUUGAGCGCGGAACCCACCCAUCACUGGAGGCAUCUGGAAUCAGCCGCCAGAAUGCAAAUGCCAGCUGAUGCAUUCGCAGAGAAGAUUAUCGUCGGGGAUUGUUGCCUCUCAUUCACUGAUAAUUAAAGGCGACUAAAGCAAGUUUCUCCAACGAAGACCCAACCAUUCGGCGACUUGGGGAAUCUCUUUUGAUCGAUUGACAAUUUUUACGAAUUUAUUCUGGAGAAAUCAUUGGCCAGCAGGGCCAGGCCAUGGUAAGUGUGUGUUAAUAGACCCUGAAUCUCAUUUUAUCUCCCAUUUUAAUGUCUGCAAUUCCCGUUCAUACUUUUAUG